GACGAACGCUGACAGAAUGCUUAACACAUGCAAGUCUACUUGAUUCUACUUCGGUAGUUGAUGGUGGCGGACGGGUGAGUAACGCGUAAAGAAUCUGCCCUUUAGUUUGGGAUAACCUUUGGAAACGAAGGCUAAUACCGGAUAUUAUGGAGACGUCGCAUGGCGACUCCAUGAAAGCUAUAUGCGCUAGAGGAGGACUUUGCGUCCCAUUAGUUAGUUGGUGAGGUAAUGGCUCACCAAGACCGCGAUGGGUAGCCGGCCUGAGAGGGUGAUCGGCCACAAGGGAACUGAGACACAGUCCUUACUCCUACGGGAGGCAGCAGUGGGGAAUAUUGGACAAUGGGCCACAAGCCUGAUCCAGCAAUUCUGUGUGCACGAUGAAGGUCUUCGGAUUGUAAAGUGCUUUCAGUAGGGAAGAAAAAAAUGACGGUACCUACAGAAGAAGCGACGGCUAAAUAUGUGCCAGCCGCCGCAGUAACAC
rnacentral:rRNA from 1 species